rnacentral:rRNA from 1 species
AGUCGAACGCUUCUUUUUCCACCGGAGCUUGCUCCACCGGAAAAAGAGGAGUGGCGAACGGGUGAGUAACACGUGGGUAACCUGCCCAUCAGAAGGGGAUAACACUUGGAAACAGGUGCUAAUACCGUAUAACAAUCAAAACCGCAUGGUUUUGAUUUGAAAGGCGCUUUCGGGUGUCGCUGAUGGAUGGACCCGCGGUGCAUUAGCUAGUUGGUGAGGUAACGGCUCACCAAGGCCACGAUGCAUAGCCGACCUGAGAGGGUGAUCGGCCACAUUGGGACUGAGACACGGCCCAAACUCCUACGGGAGGCAGCAGUAGGGAAUCUUCGGCAAUGGACGAAAGUCUGACCGAGCAACGCCGCGUGAGUGAAGAAGGUUUUCGGAUCGUAAAACUCUGUUGUUAGAGAAGAACAAGGAUGAGAGUAACUGUUCAUCCCUUGACGGUAUCUAACCAGAAAGCCACGGCUAACUACGUGCCAGCAGCCGCGGUAAUACGUAGGUGGUAAGCGUUGUCCGGAUUUAUUGGGCGUAAAGCGAGCGCAGGCGGUUUCUUAAGUCUGAUGUGAAAGCCCCCGGCUCAACCGGGGAGGGUCAUUGGAAACUGGGAGACUUGAGCGCAGAAGAGGAGAGUGGAAUUCCAUGUGUAGCGGUGAAAUGCGUAGAUAUAUGGAGGAACACCAGUGGCGAAGGCGGCUCUCUGGUCUGUAACUGACGCUGAGGCUCGAAAGCGUGGGGAGCAAACAGGAUUAGAUACCCUGGUAGUCCACGCCGUAAACGAUGAGUGCUAAGUGUUG